GUGCAUAAUCGUUUUAGCUUUAUUUUCCAAGUUGCGGAGGAGGUAGUUCCGGAAGAGGGAACUAGGAUUGUUGAUUUGAAAGUGUUGAUUUAGAGCUUGAAGUGGUUGAAUUAAAGAUUUGCAAGAUUUGAAGGUAUUUAGGUCAUUCAUGGAUGAAUGACAAGCUUUUGGGUUUAGAGGCUUAGUUAUCCCUCUCCUUUUGGCUCUUGGUACAUUUUGGGUUGAUGGUCAUAUUUUGUUAUAUUAUGUAAAAGAUCAGGUGUAAAGCUUUUUAGAAAAGAUGUAAAGUUGCACUUUGGGCGAAAAUUGUGUCAAAAUGGGUAAGAUGACCCGUUUACUUGUAGAAACUUGGUUUGUAUAAAUGGAUGGUAUGGAGACUUUUGGAAA